rnacentral:rRNA from 1 species
ACGUAUGUCGCAAGCGUUAUCCGGAUUUAUUGGGCGUAAAGCGCGUCUAGGCGGUUUGGUAAGUCUGAUGUGAAAAUGCGGGGCUCAACUCCGUAUUGCGUUGGAAACUGCCAAACUAGAGUACUAGAGAGGUGGGCGGAACUACAAGUGUAGAGGUGAAAUUCGUAGAUAUUUGUAGGAAUGCCGAUGGGGAAGCCAGCCCACUGGACAGAUACUGACGCUAAAGCGCGAAAGCGUGGGUAGCAAACAG